CGCACACGCGCAGCAGUGGUUUCUUCUGUCCUUGGGUUUAUGGCCUUUUCCUUCACGCGGCUGAGGCCCCUUAUUCCUUCUUUGACAACUUUUUAAAUCCUCGCGCUUCUCCAUGGAAAUUUUUUGUUUUUAAUACCUUCAGCAGCUGCCCGGAAUUUAAAAAUCACUUUGCUCUCCCACCGCCGUGGAACCUAGUCCUUCAGUUUGAGGAGCCGGUCUCUGAAUAAGACUCCGCCGUCCCAGGCGCAAAUCUCGCGAGAAGGUGACCCUCUAUCGCGGUCCUUCCUUGUUUCCAGAAUCCUUAGCGCGAGGCGGAAAAAUACUCGUUUAUCUUCAGCUUCUGUUGAUUAGCGCGUUUUCACUGCGUGCUCGUUUUUCGCCUUCCCUGUUGCGGUUUCUCCAAGGGAAAUGGCGGCCCCUGAGCAGCCACUACCGCCGAUGUCAAGAGGAUGCCAGAGCUCUGCCUCGCUCUCCCCGCCGCGGGGCGACCGAACCCUUCUAGUGAGGCACCUGCCAGCCGAGCUGACCGCCGAAGAGAAAGAGGACUUGCUGAAAUAUUUCGGGGCGCAGUCGGUGCGCGUCCUGUCAGAUAAGGGACGACUGAAACAUACAGCUUUUGCUACUUUCCCUAAUGAAAAAGCAGCUAUAAAGGCAUUGACAAGACUACAUCAGCUGAAACUUUUAGGUCAUACUUUAGUUGUUGAAUUUGCAAAAGAGCAAGAUCGAGUUCAUUCCCCGUGUCCCCCUUCAGACCCUGAAAAAAAGAAAAGAUCUGAUGACCCUGUGGAAGAUGAUAAAGAAAAGAAAGAACUUGGUUGUUUAACCAUAGAAAAUGGAAUUGCACCAAACCAUGGGCUGACAUUUCCUCUGAAUUCAUGCCUCAAGUAUAUGUACCCACCACCUUCAAGUACAAUCCUAGCAAACAUAGUAAAUGCUUUGGCAAGUGUCCCUAAGUUCUAUGUACAGGUGCUUCAUCUUAUGAAUAAAAUGAAUUUGCCCACACCUUUUGGACCAAUUACUGCACGACCUCCCAUGUAUGAAGAUUAUAUGCCAUUACAUGCACCUCUUCCACCUGCAUCUCCUCAGCCACCAGAGGAACCUCCUUUGCCAGAUGAGGAUGAGGAAUUAUCAAGUAUAGAAUCAGAAUAUGAAAGCAGUGAUGAUGAAGACCGACAAAGAAUGACCAAACUAAUGGAACUAGCAAAUCUUCAGCCCAAAAGGCCAAAAACAACAAAGCAGCACCAUGUGAGAAAAAAGCAAAAAAUAAAGGAUAUAUUGAAAACACCUUCAUCUGCUCCACAUAGCAGUUUACAUCCAGUGCUGUUACCUUCAGAUGUAUUUGACCAACCACAACCUGUAGGUAUUAAGAAAAUUGAAUUUCAUAUAUCUACUGACAUGCCAUCUGCAUUUAAGAAAGAUCUAGAAAAAGAACAAAAUCGUGAAGAACAAAAUUAUGAUUUACCUGCUCCUGGAGGUGAUGCACCCAAUGUAGGAUUUGGAAAAAUCUUCCCUAAACCUAAUUUGAACAUCACAGAAGAGAUUAAAGAGGACUGUGAUGAAAUGCCAUCAGAAUGUAUUUCUAGAAGGGAGUUGGAAAAAGGCAGAAUUUCUAGAGAAGAAAUGGAAACACUUUCAGUUUUCAGAAGUUACGAACCUGGUGAACCGAACUGUAGAAUUUAUGUAAAGAAUUUAGCUAAACAUGUUCAAGAAAAGGACCUUAAAUUUAUUUUUGGGAGAUAUGUUGACUUUUCCUCAGAAACACAACGGAUAAUGUUUGAUAUACGUUUGAUGAAAGAAGGUCGCAUGAAAGGACAAGCUUUCAUUGGACUUCCAAAUGAAAAAGCAGCAGCAAAAGCCUUAAAGGAAGCUAAUGGAUAUGUUCUUUUUGGAAAACCUAUGGUGGUUCAGUUUGCUCGAUCUGCUAGACCAAAACAAGAUUCUAAAGAAGGAAAAAGGAAGUGUUAAAAAUUAAUGAAGAAGCAUUCCUGCGUAAAUACUGCUGUAUUACUGUCAUACAAAGUGUAUCCUUUCUUGUUGUAUCCUUUUUGGGGCAGUGUUUUCUGUUUUUCCUAGAAAUGUUUUGUCCCUCCCCUACCCAUUGAUUUGGAUUAAGCAAUAGUUUUUUUUUCUAAUUUAUUCAAAUGAGAUAUUUCUAAAAUUACCAAUGUUGAUUGGACAAAUCACUUACGUGUUUUUUAGAUCUGUUGCUGAAUUUUCUAUGCUGUUCUUGAGGUUAUGUAAUUUUUCUAGGGAAAGUUAGUGAAUCAGGUCAACUUAUUUACUUGGAGAAUGUAUGCAUCUGCUUCAACACAGAAUUUAGUCUUGUUUCUUAUAUUUAUGUAUUUCCUAAACCUAAUUCAAUAACAUAUGCUUUCUGUUUUAUGAUGUAUCUGGUUUAGGUGUUCUAUAUAACGUAUUGUAAAAUUUGGGGAAAGGAUUUUUUUUCUUUUAAAAAAGUAUAUAUAUUGAAAAUUAAAAUAACUGAAUUUCUUUGUAAAUUCCAAGAGUAGCAGACUUCAUAUCUGAGGUUUUAUUAUUGAUACUUCCUUUGAGAUAGAUAGCAAGUAGAAGUAUUUUUUUUUUCCUCUUUCUUUCUCUAAACAAAAGGAAUGAGAAAAGAGGAACAGAGGGAAGAAGACAUAAUGUUGACUCAGGGUAGCACCUUAAGUGAAAAGAAACAAUCUGGUUCCUUCUGAUUCCAUGUCUUCCAACUGCUUUCCAACUUUAAGGAGAAGAAAUUGACACCUGGACUAUGGAACUAUACUGCCCUCUGCCCUUCUUUUCAUUUUUACCUGGAUACCAAUGCAGUUAAACAUACUUUUUUAUAGUAAUAUUAUUUCUUAUUUCUUGUAAUUAUUUUAGGAGUGGUUUUGUUUGUCUGGCUAUGACUUUUGUUUUUUGUUGUUGUUGUUUAUUUUGGGUUUUUUUAGUAGUGGCAGAUUUUCCCCACUUUAGGAAAUUUGUAUUCUUGCCCUAAUGUAGUCUUUUAUUUUGGUGCCCCCAAAUCGAUCGGAUUAUCACAUAAGGGUGUAAAUGUUUCCCAUACAAAAGUAUUGUGUUAUCUUAGUGAAAUUAGCUUCAGCUAUGUGUUAAUAAGAAAACUUUGCUAUAUUUAAUUUGUUCUUAUUAGUACUGUCCUGUGAGUAUAUAAUAAUAACUUCACCAGAAUCUAUGCCCAGAGACUUGGUCUUUGUUGGAAUGCUUUUGUGAAUCACAGCUUUUGUCUCCUAGCAGUGUGAAAUAAUGAAAAUGGGAAUUUUAAAGAUAGGAAUUAAGAAGUAUGGAGAAGUGAACCCCAGAACAUGCUCAUUUUUAGAUGUCAGGUAUAUAAAGAAUAGGUACAAACCAAACAAAGAAAAUAUCUCAGGUAGGAAGGGGCGGUGAAAUAUAUCAGAUCUGUUCUUGACGGAUCUCUCCUUGACAAACUGAUCUGAUGAAUGGAAGAAAUGAGAGGACGUAUUAAAGAGAAUGGUAGAGAGGAAUUUAAUAUAGUGAGAAUUGAAGACAACCAUGUUAGAGAGUCUUGCUCUCGGGGGGAUAGAGAAAUGGGCUGUUAAUGCAGGGGGGUAUAUAGUAUCAAGAGGGUUUUGAUUUUGUUUGUAAAGAUUGAAGAUAUAGCAGGUUUGUAUGGACUAAUCCAGUAGGACUAACCCAGCAGAGGAAAAAACAAAUAUGAUGCACGAGGGAGAGGGAUAUUGUUGGAGCUACAGAUAUGGUAUGCAAAUAGAAGAGUUAGUUUUAAAGAUGGGCGUGUAAAUGGCUCAUUGAUAGCAGGGAGAAAGGAUGGAUUGUGUAGGCCUAGAUACUUGUAGUUUGCUGGAUAUAUAGGAGGAGCAUGUAAAAGUUGUAUGAUAUUUUUUCCGUGAAACAGGAAGCAAGGUCACAGAGGGAAAUAGUAUUGGAUUGAGGAAAGAAAAGAAGGUGUAAAAUAGACACUUAGGAAAGUGACAGAGUGAAUAGAUUCUUAGAAGGAUGGCUAGACAGUACUUAAAGUGGUCAGUUGAAGUCUGUUAAUUUAAGUGAGACUAGUCAAAUGAUUUUGUGUUUUCCUCCAAUGAUGUUUAGCCUCGGUGCCAUCACUGAGUAGACAAGAGUUGAAUUUAAUCAAAGUUGGAAUUUUCCUAGAUGAAUACAACAAAGUGGGAGGAAGGAAAAGGUGUUGAUAUACUCAAGGGAAUGAUUAUAAAGAAAAGACAUAGAGAUUUGGGUAAAGAGCAAAGUGAGAAAAUGAAGGUUGAGAAACAAUGGAAAAAUGGUAUGAUCAAUUAUAUAUAGAUUGCAGUAUGACUGAAGAAAUGUUGGAGUUAUUUACUAGAGGUAGGAAGUAGAAAUUUGAGAGGUCCAAAUAAGAGAAUAACAUGACAAAUUGACAAAGGCAGAGAGAAUACAGUAAUUAGUGUCUAUAAGUUCUAGAAUGUGAACAUGGUAGUUAAGUGAAAACAGGGUCAUGGAAAGAGAUGAAUUAAAGAAAUUGAGAAACUUGAGUAUGAAAAGGAUCAUCUAAGUGGAUUUUGAAAUUAUUAAGAAUUAUGACAGGAAUAGUGAGCCAAGAUCUAAGUAAAAUUACCUCUUAGAACAUACAAUUCUGUUAGAUAUGGAAAAAGCAAUAUUUUAAAAAAAUCAGUUUAUAAAACUCUUUCUACAGUGACAGGAAAUUCAGCCUAAUUUACUGAAAACUAGUGUAUUACAGUGGUUUUAUAGGUGUAGAUUCUGACACCAAAUCUUGUUUCUGAGGUUUAAUUGCUUUAUCGCCUUGGGCAGGUUCUAUCCAUUUCCAUGGAGAUAAUCAAUACUUAUGGUAGGAUUGUUGUAAAGAUGAUUUAAUGAAUAUAAAAUACUUAAAACAAGU